rnacentral:lncRNA from 1 species
CUUGGGGAAUUUUCAGAGUUAUUGUUUGGACACAAAAAAAAGAAAAAUCUCUCUUUUAAAAAGUAGCUCACGACAUUUGCUAGUCUAGCCGUCACACGUUGCUUUUUUCAUCUUGGCUCUGGAACAAUUUUUUUUUUUUUUUGGCUCGCUAGCUAUGGAAUGGAGGAAUGCCGGUUUUAGUGAAUGAUGAUGAGCACACUCUAAUUUUCUUUGUGCCAAUGUUGUUUCUUUAAGAUGCAUUUUAUAUUCAAAGUGGUGUAUGGUGGGGUCCGGUGACUAGGUGGAUGGAGUUUUCAUUUACUUAUUUUGCUUGUUUGCAAUGAUUCACGUGCUAGAAGAAGGGGUUACGUUUUCAAUCUUGUUUUCCAUUCAAGUGUGAUGCCUUGACUUAAUUUGAAAAGAAUGCUGGAAGAGAUUUGCUGCCACAUCACCUUGGGUUUUUAUUUCUUGAACGUGUUUUGUUUGAUGGAAAAAUGAUGAAACGUUGUGGCUACUGGAGAACGUUCCCGCACCAAAAAAAUAUACAAUUAUUUGUAGCUUGGUGAAUGAAGUUCACGUUGAUAACUGAAUGACAAGCCAUCACUUGUUUUUUUUUUUUUUAAUUUUGCUGGAACACUUUUUUUUUAUGCUUAAUCAUUGAGCGCUGGUGGUAUUUGGUGGUAUAUGAAGGAGCAUUUAUUUUCACUUUAUUUUGAGAAGCAGACGGUGAUUUAGCAAGGAUGGGAUGGUGAUUUUAAUUGGGAUGCAAGAGGUGAUUUGAUUGAAGGACUUUCGGUGNAGCCUAAUGCAGCCAAUUAAUUGUGAGAAGUUCAUAUGUUUUGGAGAAUGGUGCAGGGAUGGUACAGUGGCUUAGGUAAAGUGGUUUUGUUUUUAUUUUUCUUUUUAGAUUGAUAGUUUCAAGGUCUGCACGGUGAUGGGAGGAAUGAAUUAUAAUCAGAAUGCUUUUGGGUUUUUAUUUCCUUUAAAAAGAAAAGAAAGGGUUGAGGGUGAUGCACGUGAUGGCUUGGUAAUUGUUGAAUUUGAGAGCACCAACCUCACUGCCANGAGGUUAAUUCUUUAGGCCAUUUGCAAUUAAAUUUUACUUGGUAGAUAUAGUAGGUCACGUGAAUGUGUNGGACAAGCAUGUUUGUUUACUUCUUUGUUUUGAAUUAAUUUACUUAGUAGGAUUAGUUGUUUUUCACUUCUUUAAUUUAGUUUUGCAUCUAAUUUAAUUUAACUUUGUUGGUUAGGUUUUUAUAA